CACAGGUUCAUCUUGUUCCACACUAGCCAAGACUUCAGCUUGGAUGCUCCAGCUAAAGUCUUGACUGGUGUGGAACAAGGUGAACCUGUG